AUGCGCACCCUUAUCUCCUCUUGCUGCCUCAUACUCGACCCAAAGAGAUUCCCUCGCUCUCACACACCCAGUGAUGCUGGCCAUCUCGCCGCGCCAAUGGCAUCCAUCCCCUCCCUCGCCGUCUCCGGCGCCGCCACUGCCGUCGCUGCCAAGCCCCCGCCGAGCUCCGCCGGCUUCGACAAGGGCGGUUCUCAUCAGAGGAGCACCCAAGCAGCGGAAAAUGGCAGAUUGGAGACCGAGAGCCCCCCUCGGCCGCUAGAUGCCCUGGAAGCAAUGAGCAUGCUGAAAGACGGCCGGACGGUGCAGUCAGCGAUGUACGUGCCUCUGCUUCACCAGUGCGUCCAAGCCAGCGACCGAGGGGGCCUCCGCACCGCCAGGGCCCUGCACGGCCACAUGGCGAAGACCGGAACCGUCGCGGACAUGUUCGUGGCGACGUCCCUGGUGAACGUGUACAUGAGGUGCGGGGCGAGCCGGGACGCGCGCAGGCUGUUCGACGGAAUGCCCGACAAGAACGUGGUCACCUGGACGGCGCUGAUAACGGGCCACACUCUCAACUCCGAGCCGGCGCUGGCGCUGGAGGUGUUCGUCGAGAUGCUCGAGCUGGGGAGGUACCCGUCGCACUACACGCUGGGCGGCAUGCUGAACGCGUGCUCUGCCGCGCGCAGGAUCGACCUGGGCCAGCAGGUCCAUGGCUACUCGGUUAAGUAUGGGGCCGAUACCAUCACGAGCAUGGGCAAUUCACUCUGCAGGAUGUACUGCAAGUCUGGAGACUUGGAGUCUGGCCUGAGGGCCUUUAAGGGCACCCCUGACAAGAAUGUGAUCACCUGGACGACGAUGAUAUCGUCCUGCGCCGAAGAUGAGAACUACCUGGAGCUUGGGGUGAGUUUGUUUCUUGAUAUGCUCGAGGGAGGGGUGACGCCGAAUGAGUUCACGUUGACUAGCGUCAUGAGCUUGUGUGGCACGAGGCUGGAUAUGAACCUCGGCAAGCAGGUCCAGGCUUUCUGCUACAAGGUUGGGUGUGAAGCGAAUCUUCCGGUGAAGAACUCCACAAUGUACCUCUAUCUCAGGAAGGGCGAAACGGACGAGGCAAUGCGGUUGUUCGAAGAGAUGGACAGCAGCAGUAUUAUCACGUGGAAUGCAAUGAUCUCCGGGUAUGCUCAAAUCAUGGACUCGGCAAAGGAUGACCUCCAUGCUCGUUCCAGAGGGUUCCAGGCACUCAAAUUAUUCCGUGAUCUCGUGAGAUCUGAAUUGAAGCCAGACUUGUUCACCUUCUCAAGCAUCCUGUCAGUAUGCAGCGCCAUGAUGGCCUUGGAGCAGGGCGAGCAAAUCCAUGCAAACACGAUAAAGACUGGAUGCCUGUCGGAUGUUGUUGUGAACAGCGCGCUGGUAAACAUGUACAACAAGUGCGGAUGCAUCGAGUGCGCGACCAAAGCCUUCGUCGAGAUGCCAACACGGACACCUGUCACGUGGACCUCUAUGAUUUCAGGGUACUCGCAGCAUGGCCGGUCCCGAGAUGCGAUACAGCUCUUUGAGGACAUGAUAUUAUCUGGCGCCAAACCAAACGAGAUCACAUUCGUAAGUUUGCUGUCAGCCUGCAGCUAUGCUGGUUUAGUCGAGGAGGCUGAGCGCUACUUUGACAUGAUGCGGAGUGAGUAUCAUAUAGAGCCUCUUGUGGACCAUUACGGGUGCAUGGUUGACAUGUUCGUGCGAUUGGGCCGGCUGGAUGAUGCAUUUUCCUUCAUCAAGAGAACAGGCUUUGAGCCGAACGAGGCCAUCUGGUCCAGUUUGGUAGCUGGAUGCCGGAGUCAUGGGAACAUGGAACUUGCUUUCUACGCCGCUGAUAGGCUCCUUGAGCUCAAGCCGAAAGUGAUUGAAACAUAUGUCUUGCUGUUGAACAUGUACGUGUCUACUGGUAGAUGGCGUGACGUCGCCAGGGUGCGGAAACUGGCCAAACAUGAAGAUGUCGGGGUUCUCAGAGACCGUAGCUGGAUUGCAAUCAGAGACAAGGUGUAUUUCUUCAGAGCUGAUGACAUGACUCACCCACAAGCUACAGAGUUGUAUCUAUUAUUGGAGAAUUUGCUGGAAAAGGCUAAGGCCGUAGGGUACGAACCGUACCAGAAUGCUCCUGAGUUAUUAUCUGACAGCAAGGAGGGCGACGAGGACAAGCCUGCUGCUGCUGCAGGUUCACUAAUAAAGCACCACAGUGAGAGGUUGGCUGUUGCACUGGGGCUGCUCAAAACACCUCCUGGUGCGACAGUCCGUGUGACCAAGAACAUCACCAUGUGCAGGGACUGCCACAGCUCUAUCAAAUACUUCUCACUACUCGCAAACAGAGAGAUUGUUGUCCGGGACAGCAAACGGCUUCACAAGUUCAAGGAUGGUCGGUGCUCGUGUGGGGAUUUCGGUGGUGCGCUCCUCCUGUGA
rnacentral:rRNA from 1 species